GACGAACGCUGGCGGCGUGCUUAACACAUGCAAGUCGAACGGUAAGGCCUUUCGGGGUACACGAGUGGCGAACGGGUGAGUAACACGUGGGUGAUCUGCCCCAAACUUUGGGAUAAGCCUGGGAAACUGGGUCUAAUACCGGAUAUGACCACUUUACGCAUGUUUUGUGGUGGAAAGCUUUUGCGGUUUGGGAUGGGCCCGCGGCCUAUCAGCUUGUUGGUGGGGUAAUGGCCUACCAAGGCGACGACGGGUAGCCGGCCUGAGAGGGCGACCGGCCACACUGGGACUGAGACACGGCCCAGACUCCUACGGGAGGCAGCAGUGGGGAAUAUUGCACAAUGGGCGGAAGCCUGAUGCAGCGACGCCGCGUGGAGGAUGACGGCCUUCGGGUUGUAAACUCCUUUCGCCAGGGACGAAUCAAGACGGUACCUGGAGAAGAAGCACCGGCCAACUACGUGCCAGCAGCCGCGGUAAUACGUAGGGUGCGAGCGUUGUCCGGAAUUACUGGGCGUAAAGAGCUUGUAGGCGGUUUGUCGCGUCGUCCGUGAAAACCAGUGGCUUAACCAUUGGCUUGCGGGCGAUACGGGCAGACUUGAGUAUUGCAGGGGAGACUGGAAUUCCUGGUGUAGCGGUGAAAUGCGCAGAUAUCAGGAGGAACACCGGUGGCGAAGGCGGGUCUCUGGGCAGUAACUGACGCUGAGAAGCGAAAGCGUGGGUAGCGAACAGGAUUAGAUACCCUGGUAGUCCACGCCGUAAACGGUGGGUACUAGGUGUGGGUUUCCUUCCACGGGAUCCGUGCCGUAGCUAACGCAUUAAGUACCCCGCCUGGGGAGUACGGCCGCAAGGCUAAAACUCAAAUGAAUUGACGGGG
rnacentral:rRNA from 1 species